rnacentral:rRNA from 1 species
UACGGGGGGGGUAAGCGUUGUUCGGAAUUACUGGGCGUAAAGGGCUCGUAGGCGGCCAACUAAGUCAGACGUGAAAUCCCUCAGCUUAACUGGGGAACUGCGUCUGAUACUGGAUGGCUUGGAUUCGGGAGAGGAAUGCGGAAUUCCAGGUGUAGCGGUGAAAUGCGCAGAUAUCAGGAGGAACACCAAUUGCGAAGGCAGCUCGCUGGGACGUUACUGACGCUGAGACGCGAAAGCGUGGGGAGCAAACAGG